UACGGGGGAGCAAGCGUUGUUCGGAUUUACUGGGCGUAAAGGGCGCGUAGGCGGUCAGCACAAGUCAGUUGUGAAAUCUCCGGGCUUAACCCGGAAAGGUCAACUGAUACUGUGCGACUAGAGUGCGGAAGGGGCAACUGGAAUUCUCGGUGUAGCGGUGAAAUGCGUAGAUAUCGAGAGGAACACCAGUGGCGAAGGCGGCUCACUGGCCCGGUACUGACGCUGAGGUGCGAAGACGUGGGAGCAAACAGG
rnacentral:rRNA from 1 species